rnacentral:rRNA from 1 species
CCUACGGGUGGCUGCAGUGGGGAAUAUUGCACAAUGGGCGCAAGCCUGAUGCAGCCAUGCCGCGUGUGUGAAGAAGGCCUUCGGGUUGUAAAGCACUUUCAGCGGGGAGGAAGGCGUUAAGGUUAAUAACCUUGGCGAUUGACGUUACCCGCAGAAGAAGCACCGGCUAACUCCGUGCCAGCAGCCGCGGUAAUACGGAGGGUGCAAGCGUUAAUCGGAAUUACUGGGCGUAAAGCGCACGCAGGCGGUCGGUCAAGUCGGAUGUGAAAUCCCCGGGCUCAACCUGGGAACUGCAUUCGAAACUGGCAGGCUAGAGUCUUGUAGAGGGGGGUAGAAUUCCAGGUGUAGCGGUGAAAUGCGUAAAGAUCUGGAGGAAUACCGGUGGCGAAGGCGGCCCCCUGGACAAAGACUGACGCUCAGGUGCGAAAGCGUGGGGAGCAAACAGGAUUAGAUACCCGUGUAGUC